AUAAAAGAGACGAGGUUGCUUACCCCUGAGCUUGUUGGACAACAACUUGAAGCUUGCCAGACUCCGCAGGUGGCGCGUCAGAAGCUGAGUCCUCCCCCGUCGAGCUCCUCCUUCUCGCUGGAAAACUCCCUUGAGGGCGACAAGAGGGACUCCGCAGAACCCUUGAGUGACGUCAGAAUGCGUGGUGGAAACGGGAUAGAAAUCGGGCAGGAAGACCUGGGGACAAUACAGGGCUGGCACCGUGGGAUACAUUUUCUUAUUCCGAGGAACUGUAGUAUGCAAAAUGUUUGUUUUGGGAAUAGAAACAGGUCCCUUUUUUUUUUACCUGAGAAAUUAAAUUUCUUAAAAUGAAAAAGGGGGCACCUGAAUUGGAACCAGGGACAUCUUGAUGUGCAGUCAAAUGCUCUCCUACUGUGCUAUAUCCCCAUCUCUUUAGUUUUUUUGUUGCCGGCAUUUUGGGGAUAUUUGUCGCAUUGUAUUGAAAGACAGGUGGAAGAUUUUUCUGUGAAUUAUAUUAGUUUUUCAUGUGAGAUAAGAAUGUUCUUCUUUAAAAGGAGUGAUUGAACAA